AAACUAACAAGGAUUCCCCUAGUAACGGCGAGUGAAGCGGGAAGAGCUCAAAUUUGUAAUCUGGCACUUUCAGUGUCCGAGUUGUAAUCUCGAGAAGUAUUUUCCGCGCCGGACCGCAUACAAGUCUGUUGGAAUACAGCGUCAUAGUGGUGAGAACCCCGUAACUGAUGCGGAUGCCCGGUGCUUUGUGAUAUACUUUCGAAGAGUCGAGUUGUUUGGGAAUGCAGCUCAAAUUGGGUGGUAAAUUCCAUCUAAAGCUAAAUAUUGGAGCAAGACCGAUAGCGAACAAGUACCGUGAGGGAAAGAUGAAAAGCACUUUGGAAAGAGAGUUAACAGUACGUGAAAUUGUUGGAAGGGAAACGCUUGAAGUCAGACUUGCUAUUCGGAGUUCAGCCGCAAGGUGUAUUCUUCGAUUUGCAGGCCAGCAUCAGUUUUUGGGGGUGGAAAAUCGUGGUUUGAAGGUAGCAGCUUCGGCUGUGUUAUAGCUUUCCACUGGAUUCAUCUUCGGGGACUGAGGAACGCAGUACGCUUUUUGCAAGGCUUUCGAGCUUUUCGUACUUAGGAUGCUGGUGGAAUGGCUUUAAACGAC
rnacentral:rRNA from 1 species